rnacentral:rRNA from 1 species
UACGUAGGGGACUAGCGUUGUUCGGAAUUACUGGGCGUAAAGCGCGCGUAGGCGGACCUGCAAGUCGGGGGUGAAAGCCCGAGGCUCAACCUCGGAACUGCCUUCGAUACUGCGGGUCUCGAGUCCGGGAGAGGUGAGUGGAAUUCCUAGUGUAGAGGUGAAAUUCGUAGAUAUUAGGAAGAACACCAGUGGCGAAGGCGGCUCACUGGCCCGGUACUGACGCUGAGGCGCGAAAGCGUGGGGAGCAAACAGG